AUUGAACGCUGGCGGCAGGCUUAACACAUGCAAGUCGAGCGGGGUGAUGGUGCUUGCACUAUCACUUAGCGGCGGACGGGUGAGUAAUGCUUAGGAAUCUGCCUAUUAGUGGGGGACAACAUCUCGAAAGGGAUGCUAAUACCGCAUACGUCCUACGGGAGAAAGCAGGGGAUCACUUGUGACCUUGCGCUAAUAGAUGAGCCUAGGUCGGAUUAGCUAGUUGGUGGGGUAAAGGCCUACCAAGGCGACGAUCUGUAGCGGGUCUGAGAGGAUGAUCCGCCACACUGGGACUGAGACACGGCCCAGACUCCUACGGGAGGCAGCAGUGGGGAAUAUUGGACAAUGGGGGAAACCCUGAUCCAGCCAUGCCGCGUGUGUGAAGAAGGCCUUAUGGUUGUAAAGCACUUUAAGCGAGGAGGAGGCUCUUUUGGUUAAUACCCAAGAUGAGUGGACGUUACUCGCAGAAUAAGCACCGGCUAACUCUGUGCCAGCAGCCGCCGUAA
rnacentral:rRNA from 1 species